rnacentral:misc_RNA from 1 species
ACAAGUCAUUGGAGGCCGAAGAUAAUGAAAAAUUCCCCAAAAUGUUUCUACCACUCAAAGUAUCUUUACUGAAGUCCUUCAAAUUAAUGGAUAAAGAGUUGAAACUGCAUCCCAAAAUUGAUUGUUUUUGCAGUGGAUCGACGGCCGUGACUCUAAUAAAGCAGGGUCAGAACCUUGUACUUGGAAAUGUUGGUGACUCAAGAGCGGUGCUGGCUACGAUAGACGAAGAUAACUCUUUGAUUCCAGUUCAAUUAACGGUGGACUUGAAACCUGACCUUCCUGGUGAAGCUGCUAGGAUCCAGCAAUGCAAAG